rnacentral:misc_RNA from 1 species
AAAGUCGUAACAAGGUUUCCGUAGGUGAACCUGCGGAAGGAUCAUUAUCACGUAUCCACGUUAUAAACCAAUUCGUGAACUGUUUUACUCACCUUUGGGCUAUGGCCGCUGUCGAUGGACACAUGGGUUCAUUGUAUGAUUAUGAACUCGUCAAUUGGCAAUUAAGGCUGUUUCUCCGAAGCGUAUUUAAUCAUACUUUUAAACAUUAACCACUUGAACACUAUGAAAUUUUCUUUGUUUGAACUGAUUUGUUUCUUACUCAGUGGCGCAAUUUUGCCUCACCGAGAAGAAAUCGAUUACGAAACAAAAAAGAACAACUCUUAGCAACGGAUAUCUUGGUUCUC